rnacentral:rRNA from 1 species
GCAUAUCAAUAAGCGGAGGAAAAGAAACCAACAGGGAUUGCCUUAGUAGCGGCGAGUGAAGCGGCAAUAGCUCAAAUUUGAAAUCUGGCACCUUCGGUGUCCGAGUUGUAAUUUGAAGAAGGUAUCUUUGGUUUUGGCUCUUGUCUAUGUUCCUUGGAACAGGACGUCACAGAGGGUGAGAAUCCCGUGCGAUGAGAUGCCCAAUUCCAUGUAAAGUUCCUUCGACGAGUCGAGUUGUUUGGGAAUGCAGCUCUAAGUGGGUGGUAAAUUCCAUCUAAAGCUAAAUAUUGGCGAGAGACCGAUAGCGAACAAGUACUGUGAAGGAAAGAUGAAAAGAACUUUGAAAAGAGAGUGAAAAAGUACGUGAAAUUGUUGAAAGGGAAGGGCUUGAGGUCAGACUUGGUUUUACCAGGCCAGCAUCAGUUUGGAUGGCAGGAUAAUAGCUUAGGAAUGUGGCACUGCUUCGGUAGUGUGUUAUAGCCUGGGUUGAUACUGCCUGUCUAGACUGAGGACUGCGUCUUUGACUAGGAUGCUGGCAUAAUGACCUUAAGCCGCCCGUCUUGAAACACGGACC